AUUGAACGCUGGCGGCAUGCCUUACACAUGCAAGUCGAACGGCAGCAUGAUCUAGCUUGCUAGAUUGAUGGCGAGUGGCGAACGGGUGAGUAAUACAUCGGAACGUGCCCUGUAGUGGGGGAUAACUAGUCGAAAGAUUAGCUAAUACCGCAUACGACCUGAGGGUGAAAGUGGGGGACCGCAAGGCCUCAUGCUAUAGGAGCGGCCGAUGUCUGAUUAGCUAGUUGGUGAGGUAAAGGCUCACCAAGGCGACGAUCAGUAGCUGGUCUGAGAGGACGAUCAGCCACACUGGGACUGAGACACGGCUCAGACUCCUACGGGAGGCAGCAGUGGGGAAUUUUGGACAAUGGGGGCAACCCUGAUCCAGCAAUGCCGCGUGUGUGAAGAAGGCCUUCGGGUUGUAAAGCACUUUUGUCCGGAAAGAAAUCGCACUUACUAAUAUUAGGUGUGGAUGACGGUACCGGAAGAAUAAGGACCGGCUAACUACGUGCCAGCAGCCGCGGUAAUACGUAGGGUCCAAGCGUUAAUCGGAAUUACUGGGCGUAAAGCGUGCGCAGGCGGUUGUGCAAGACCGAUGUGAAAUCCCCGGGCUUAACCUGGGAAUUGCAUUGGUGACUGCACGGCUAGAGUGUGUCAGAGGGGGGUAGAAUUCCACGUGUAGCAGUGAAAUGCGUAGAGAUGUGGAGGAAUACCGAUGGCGAAGGCAGCCCCCUGGGAUAACACUGACGCUCAUGCACGAAAGCGUGGGGAGCAAACAGGAUUAGAUACCCUGGUAGUCCACGCCCUAAACGAUGUCAACUAGUUGUUGGGGAUUCAUUUCCUUAGUAACGUAGCUAACGCGUGAAGUUGACCGCCUGGGGAGUACGGUCGCAAGAUUAAAACUCAAAGGAAUUGACGGGGACCCGCACAAGCGGUGGAUGAUGUGGAUUAAUUCGAUGCAACGCGAAAAACCUUACCUACCCUUGACAUGCCACUAACGAAGCAGAGAUGCAUUAGGUGCUCGAAAGAGAAAGUGGACACAGGUGCUGCAUGGCUGUCGUCAGCUCGUGUCGUGAGAUGUUGGGUUAAGUCCCGCAACGAGCGCAACCCUUGUCUCUAGUUGCUACGAAAGGGCACUCUAGAGAGACUGCCGGUGACAAACCGGAGGAAGGUGGGGAUGACGUCAAGUCCUCAUGGCCCUUAUGGGUAGGGCUUCACACGUCAUACAAUGGUGCAUACAGAGGGUUGCCAAGCCGCGAGGUGGAGCUAAUCCCAGAAAAUGCAUCGUAGUCCGGAUCGUAGUCUGCAACUCGACUACGUGAAGCUGGAAUCGCUAGUAAUCGCGGAUCAGCAUGCCGCGGUGAAUACGUUCCCGGGUCU
rnacentral:rRNA from 1 species